rfam:Schistosoma rodhaini strain Burundi genome assembly, scaffold: SROB_scaffold0012129
AUCCAGCUGACUAGUCCCAAAUAGGACGAAAUGCGCGUCCUGGAU